GGGGUUAUAGCUCAGUUGGUAGAGCACCACGCUGGCAGCGUGGGGGUCAGGAGUUCGAAUCUCCUUAGCUCCA
rnacentral:tRNA from 2 species